UACGUAGGGUGCAGGCGUUUAAUCGGAAUUACUGGGCGUAAAGCGUGCGCAGGCGGUUUUGUAAGUCAGAUGUGAAAUCCCCCGGGCUUAACCUGGGAACUGCGUUUGAAACUACAAGGCUAGAGUGUGGCAGAGGGGGGGUGGAAUUCCACGUGUAGCAGUGAAAUGCGUAGAGAUGUGGAGGAACACCGAUGGCGAAGGCAGCCCCCUGGGUUAACACUGACGCUCAGGCACGAAAGCGUGGGGAGCAAACAGG
rnacentral:rRNA from 1 species